rnacentral:tRNA from 1 species
CCGCCCAUAGCUCAGUUGGUAGAGCAAUCGCCUCUUAAGCGAAGGGUCGCAGGUUCGAAUCCUGCUGGGCGGA